AAAAUGUAUCUCACUCACAGACCAUCAAUUUGUGAUGAAAUGUAACCUCCCUUUUAUGGCAACCAUUCCCAUAGUGCUGUGCACUUUCUUGCCACGGAGCCAUAUUGAGUAGGGAUUCUUUAUAAACAGCUGCUGAAUGGGAAUCGGAGGGUUUUUUCUUCUGUCAUUUUAAAUGAGGCUGUCGGCGAUUGAUCAAUGUAAGCAAUCCGCCUCGAAGGAGCAGAUCAUUUUAGCAGGGCGAAAAUCAGCUUCCUGAUUUGAACUGCCAUUUCCUCAACGUUCACCUGCUGCAAGACAGAUGAUCGAGAGUGAUGUCUCAGUGCCUGACACAGGAAUGCAAAUUAGGACAGGCUGCAAGGUGACUGGGACUUCAUAUCCUCUGACUGACAGUACAUUCUGCUCUGCUGCUCCCAAUCCCUUCCUCGACUUACAUUGUCACAAAUAUGGACCAAGAAUAUGAGCGAAGGCUUCUUCGACAAACACAUUUCCAAAAUGUCUCUGAGAAUAUGCUU